rnacentral:rRNA from 1 species
UGCCCAAAUCUAAGGAAUAGCCACUGGAAACGGUGAGUAAUACCUUAUACGCCCUUCGGGGAAAGAUUUAUCGGAUUUGGAUCGGCCCGCGUUAGAUUAGGUAGUUGGUGGGGUAACGGCCUACCAAGCCUACGAUCUAUAGCUGGUUUUAGAGGAUGAUCAGCAACACUGGGACUGAGACACGGCCCAGACUCCUACGGGAGGCAGCAGUGGGGAAUCUUGGACAAUGGGCGCAAGUGAUCCAGCCAUGCCGCGUGAGUGAUGAAGGCCUUAGGGUCGUAAAGCUCUUUCGCCAGGGAUGAUAAUGACAGUACCUGGUAAAGAAACCCCGGCUAACUCCGUGCCAGCAGCCGCGGUAAUACGGAGGGGGUUAGCGUUGUUCGGAAUUACUGGGCGUAAAGCGUACGUAGGCGGAUCAGAAAGUUGGGGGUGAAAUCCCGGGGCUCAACCCCGAACUGCCUCCAAAACUCCUGGUCUAGAGUUCGAGAGAGGUGAGUGGAAUUCCGAGUGUAGAGGUGAAAUUCGUAGAUAUUCGGAGGAACACCAGUGGCGAAGGGGCUCACUGGCUCGAUACUGACGCUGAGGUACGAAAGUGUGGGGAGCAAACAGGAUUAGAUACCCUGGUAGUCCACACCGUAAACGAUGAAUGCCAGUCGUCGGGUAGCAUGCUAUUCGGUGACACACCUAACGGAUUAAGCAUUCCGCCUGGGAGUACGGUCGCAAGAUUAAAACUCAAGGAAUUGACGGGGGCCCGCACAAGCGUGGAGCAUGUGGUUUAAUUCGAAGCAACGCGCAGAGCCUUACCAACCCUUGACAUCCUGGGCUCGCAGAGAGAUCUGGUUUCCACUUCGGUGGCUCAGUGACAGGUGCUG